GAUUGCCUCAGUAACGGCGAGUGAAGCGGCAACAGCUCAAAUUUGAAAUCUGGCUCCUCCGGGGUCCGAGUUGUAAUUUGUAGAGGAUGUUUCGGGUGCGGCGCCGGUCGAAGUCCCUUGGAACAGGGUGUCACAGAGGGUGAGAAUCCCGUACGUGGCCGGUGACCAAGCCCAUGUGAAACUCCUUCGACGAGUCGAGUUGUUUGGGAAUGCAGCUCAAAAUGGGUGGUAAAUUUCAUCUAAAGCUAAAUACCGGCCAGAGACCGAUAGCGCACAAGUAGAGUGAUCGAAAGAUGAAAAGCACUUUGGAAAGAGAGUUAAAAAGUACGUGAAAUUGUUGAAAGGGAAGCGCUUGCGACCAGACCUGCCCGUGGGUGCUCAGCGGGGGUUUGCCCCCGUGCACUCGCCCACGAUCAGGCCAGCAUCAGUUCCGGCGACCGGAUAAAGGCCCGAGGAAUGUAGCUCCCCUCGGGGAGUGUUAUAGCCUCGGGCGGCAUACGGCCAGCUGGGACUGAGGACCGCGCUUCGGCAAGGAUGCUGGCGUAAUGGUUGCAAGCGACCCGUCUUGAAACACGGACCAAGGAGUCUAACAUCUAUGCGAGUGUUUGGGUGUCAAACCCAUGCGCGCAAUGAAAGUGAACGGAGGUCAGAGCCCUUUAGGGUGCAUGAUCGACCGAUCCUGAAGUUUACGGAUGGAUUUGAGUAUGAGCAUAGCUGUUGGGACCCGAAAGAUGGUGAACUAUGCCUGAAUAGGGUGAAGCCAGAGGAAACUCUGGUGGAGGCUCGCAGCGGUUCUGACGUGCAAAUCGAUCGUCAAAUUUGGGUAUAGGGGCGAAAGACUAAUCGAACCAUGAUCAUACUAGGUGGUUAAGCAGGGUGAAGCGGUACUCUCAGCCUCUCGAGGCGACAAUGCUAGGUGCAUAGACCCCGUGAAAGGGAUAUGCAGCGGGGGCGAGAGCCCCCGUCCACAGACCAAAUAGCAUUGGCUGGCGGGUGACCGCCGGUUGUGAUAUGGCCGAGUCCCCCCUCCGCGCGGAG
rnacentral:rRNA from 1 species